UCAGAAGACCAUCCCUCGAGAAGGAUAUCACCGUGGCCAUUCCGGAGGAAAUCGUCCACGAACUCGAGGUGGAACGUCCCGAGUUGGCGAAUAUUACAAACGACGAUUCAGCUGACCAAGGUCUACGAUGCGAAAACUAAGCAAUGGACGACAGUAGAUCAGAAAAAACACACAGAUGUGCUGGAAAAGAUCAGUUACCUUGAGGAAAGCAGCGGACGCCACCGAGUUGAACGAGUCUGAGCGGGUUAAGAACCUGCAGUCUAUUGAUACAGUUGACAAAACCAUCAUCAAAGACAGAAGUGAUCUUAGCAAAUUGAAUCGGCAAACCGAGAAAGUCGUCAAGGAGCAAUGCAUCUGUGA